rnacentral:rRNA from 1 species
GAUGAACGCUGGCGGCGUGCCUAAUACAUGCAAGUCGAGCGAACGGACGAGAAGCUUGCUUCUCUGAUGUUAGCGGCGGACGGGUGAGUAACACGUGGAUAACCUACCUAUAAGACUGGGAUAACUUCGGGAAACCGGAGCUAAUACCGGAUAAUAUUUUGAACCGCAUGGUUCAAAAGUGAAAGACGGUCUUGCUGUCACUUAUAGAUGGAUCCGCGCUGCAUUAGCUAGUUGGUAAGGUAACGGCUUACCAAGGCAACGAUGCAUAGCCGACCUGAGAGGGUGAUCGGCCACACUGGAACGGAGACACGGUCCAGGGUCCUACGGGAGGCAGCAGUAGGGAAUCUUCCGCAAAGGGCGAAAGCCUGACGGAGCAACGCCGCGUGAGUGAUGAAGGUCUUCGGAUCGUAAAACUCUGUUAUUAGGGAAGAACAUAUGUGUAAGUAACUGUGCACAUCUUGACGGUACCUAAUCAGAAAGCCACGGCUAACUACGUG